ensembl:lncRNA
ACUUCUCAGCAGGCUGCCAAUUGCUUCUGCUAAAAGUGCAUGAAUAAAAAUAAUCAGAAAUCACACUGACCUUUCAUUUGGUCAUUCUUUCUAAUGAUUUUAUAUGCUUAUAAAAUGUCAAAAUCAUUUGUUUGGAUCACAGAACAGCAAAUGGCAAGGAGUAGAAAACAGAAAACACUUUUGUAACUGUGGUCGUUUCACCAUGAGUCGCAGUUAAACUCCAUCAGAAUCAUUCUGUCACCUCUUCUCAAAGAAACAAGGAGAAAAUGCAAGGAAAAAAAAAAGUCUUCACAGUUAGAGAUAAGGACAGGGGAUCACUUACCAAUUGAACAGAAAAGGGAAAAACAGAACCACUACUUCAUAGUCAUUAUCUGCUCCUGCUCCACUGUGGGUUCCCUCCCUUGGGAUGCCACCCUUUCCACACUCCCCACAGGCUGCAGAUCCAGCCCAGAGUGCUCCUGCAGGGGUAUCCAUUCCUCCUUCAGGCCUCAUCCCUUCCACACCAUGGGCUCUUACAUGGCUGCACGGGCAGAUCUGCUCUGUGCAGUGCCCUUGGGCUUCAGGGGAUGGUCUCCUCCUCCAUGGCCCUCUCCUGAGAUGCAGGGAGCUGCUGCUUUGUGCCUGAAGUUCCUCCUGCCCUCCUUCUGCACUGACCUUGGUGUCCACAGGGCUACUCUCUCAUAUCCCUCAACCCUCUCUUCUAGCUGUUGUUCUGUGGCAUUACUUCACUUCCUUAUAUAUGCUCUACUAGAGUACACCCAGUGUUGCUCACAGCUCAGUUCUGGCAGCAGUGGGCCCGUGUUGGAGCAGCUGGAGCUCUGAUCUGACAUGGGUCAGAGCUGGGCUUUGCUCACAGAGGCUGCCCUGCAGCAUCCCCUGUAUCAAAGCCUUGUCACCUAAGCCCAGUACAGUAAUUUAGUUGUUCUUUCAUUUUGAUGUGAACUGAACUCAUUGUUCACAGUAACACAAAUUCACAUCAGUAAUGCUCAUCAUUAAAAAAUUAUAACUGAGUGUUCUGAAAGAAAAAUUAGGUGAAAGUCUCCUAGUGGCGCAUGUGAAACGUGCCAUGAACUCCAAAAAUGCAGCAGGGAGUUCCAAAGAUGUAAUAGUAUUUGGAGAGUUUAUGUAAUUAUUUCCUCAAUAUAGUAAUAGCUGACACUACUGGCUAUGGUAAGAUAUGUUUCAAAUGUAAGAGCAGUCUUCAGAUAAUCAAAAAGCUGAAAAUACAAGGCCUUUCUACUGCCUGAUUUUAUCAGCAUGAUAACUUUUUCCACUGUGAUUUCAUUCUUGACUUGUCUGCGUUCGGUACUACCUACUACACAGACAGAGCAGUCUUCCCUCCUAGAAUAAGUCUUAAAAAAAUCAUUCAGUAAGUCACUGAUUUACAGAAUUAUUAUAUGUUUUCUCUGCUUUAACUGUUGCCAUUUGGGAUUUUGCUAGAAAAUUUUGCUUUGAAUUGGACACUCUGAAUAGAUGUGCCCCCUUCAGCCAUGUGGAAAAAGAUAAAUAGAAAUCUACAUAAAUAAAUGAGUACUGAAAUAAAUAGCAAUAGAUCUAAUUGUUUCCAUGAUAUGAAAAAAUAUUUUUAAAAAUGAUGUUAUUUAGUGAAUGAAGUAGGAAAAUCUUUCUUGUUUUUAUUGUCAGAUUACAUGGAAAAAAAUUGUUUGUUACUUGAGAGCUCAGUGUAUGGAGUGACCACAAAAUAAGUACACAGAGUUCAGCAGCAAUUCUUCUAUAGAUGCUCUGGAACAAAUGGUUCCUGUUUUACAAUGCUGGCCCACAAUACCAGAGGCAGAUGUUAGCACCAUGGCAGUAGAGACUGAACCUUCCUGACAUUAUAGCACCACAUUUUGUUGCUGUGUGAUAGAUAGCAGCAGAGGAACAGUCUGACAAAAUGGUGUCUGACAUGGAAGUGUGAAUGAAGCAAAGGUGUGGAAUUAAAUACCUCAAUGCAGAAAAAAAAAAAAAAUGGCACCUGUUGAUAUUCAUCAACAUUUGCUGAAUGCUUAUGGAGACCAAACAGUGGAUGUGAGCACAGUGAGGCCCUGGGUGGUGCAUUUCAGCAGUGGUGACAGCAACAUGUCUCUCUUCUGCUGGUGUAGAUAGUUAUGAAUGUAGCAUGCAGGCACCUGUUCACCACUGGUGAAAACAUAUAGCUAGUGGUGGUGACUAUGCUGAAAAAAAAUAUAUAUAACUUUAUAACUGAGAUUUUGCUCUAUGUAACAAUGUUAUUGUGCUCUUAGUAUCUGUUGUAGUUUCCUCGGAAAUAAAUAGGAGGCAUUACUUUUGGAGAAACCUAUGUAUCUUGAACACAUCUUGGGAGAACUCCCCUUCUGCUGGAUUGUACCUCAGAGAGAAUAAAUAAAGCAUCUCUUCUGCAUAGAUGAUCCUGAGUUACAUGUUGCAAAUUUCCCAUAAAAAUGCAGCUGAUUUUUAUUUAAUUAUCCUGGUUAUCAUCAUAACUCCUGACUUUGUUUACUGUUAUUGUGGUUCUACUUCCAACUGGAAAAAAAAUCAUAGCUGGAGUAAUAUGAGGAAAGGAAGAAACUGGGGCCUGAAUGUAUGAUGUAAAUGAUUGUCAACAAUCAGAUUCAAAGAGAUAGAUUUUAUCCCAACAUUCCUAAACAUAAUUUUCUCAAUAUAUGCAGGAGAAAAAUGUAUUCAACUUCAUCAGCAGCAGAUAGCAUGAGGGAUGGAAAUAAAAUUGGAGUCUUACAGAUAAUGAACAAAUAAUAGUUAUUGUAAAAUGUUUUGUUAUUCAAAUUCUAUCAAUUUAAUUAUUUUAAUGGUAGUCAAAUACCCAAAUACUUUCAGAAAUCUGUCCAAGAAAUACUAUGCUGUAUAAUCAGGUACAGCUGACAGGAAUGAAUUAGCAUAUUUGCUUGAAUAAAUUUCAAGUUAUUGUUGCACUGUGAAUUUCUGCAGUCGGAUGCUUUUAAUGAACCUGAGAUUUAUAAUACAAAGAGGACACAUAAAUGAAAACAAGGUUACAUGUUAGAGGAGAAAAAAAGUUAACAACACAUAAAAUGACUACAGAGCCUGAUUUAAAGUAUGACCUUUCUCUCAAGCUUCCUGUCCACCCACACACCCCACAGGCAAUGCUACAACACCAGACCAUCAGGGUGGAUAACCCAGCACAGCGGUCAGCCCGCACAAGGUGUGGGAAAAUACUAAACGUAACCCAAGAGCUGGUUAGACGCUUAGUUGUCUUAGUUUUUACUUAAAGAAAAGCUGUUUAGGUUCAUUAUUUCAAUGCAUAAAAAAAAAAGAAACAAAAGAGGUGGGGGGAAGGGGCUAGUUGUAGCACUAAAUGUUAUGACUAUAACAUAUAAUAACAUAUUAUAUAUAUAUAUAUGUUAUUAUAUAUAUAUUAUAUAUGUUUAUAUAUAUAUAUUAUAUAUAUAUAAUAACAUUCAAUAAAAGUGUCUUCAGGUUACUUCAGGAAAUAAAUAAUCUUGUUUAUAACCACAUCCAUCUAACUGAUGUUUUCCCUUCCUUCUAGUUACUCUACAAUCAUAGAGCGGCUUGAGUUGAAAGGGAUCUCAAAGAUCAUCUAGCUUCAAUUGAUCAGCCAUGGAAAGAGUUGCCAACCACUAAAUCAGUCACUAGAUCAAUCUGCCCAGGGCCUCAUCCAACUUGACCUUGAAUAUCUCUAGGCACAGGGAAGUCACUUAUCUGAGUAUAGUUUUCCAGCACCUCACCAUCCUCCCAGUGAAAAAUGAAAUCCCGACAUCUGAUCUAAGCCUCUCCCUCUUGUCCUAUCAGCCUCUACCAUGUAAACAUUUGAUUCUCCUCCUUCUUCUUCAAGACCAAUUUAGAGAGAAAAAUAAGCAUGGGAUUGGUAAGUGAUAAAGUGGACAGAUAUUUAAUAUUAUUUUUACUCUAAACAUUAUUGUAACAUAAGAGAUAUAUGCAAUAAAGGGUGAUAAAGAAGGAAAUCAGAAAGAAUCCUGAAAAUCCUCAAUGGAGUCUGAAGGUACUGCUUGAAUGAGUGGAACAUGGCCUUUCCUAGAUAACCUUUGGUCUUAGAGCUAUUUUAGCUCUUACAGCUCACCCUAUUUCCAUACUACAGAAUCUUACAAAUUACAUCAAUGGAGUACUACUUACUCACUAAAGCAAUGCCAACAGAAAAUUUAAUUUCUUCUUUAUUUUAAAGGGAGACGUCCAUCUCCAUGUUUUUAAACUCCUCAUAGUUAUUUAUACACACACCCACACACUUUUUUCUUUAUUUGCCAUGCAAAGUUUCCUGGGGCAGAAAUACAGACAUUUUGCCUGUGCACUACUUAAUUAAGAAUUCACAGUAUUGCAAAUUAAUGCAUUAAUCAACCUUCUUGUCAGUUUAUCUUAAGUAGUUUAACAUUUAUGAUGCAAGCCAUUAGUAAUAAUUCCUCACUCUUGGGAAAGGGCCAGUUUAAACCACAGCCAGUGUCUGCUAGUUUCAGAAACUAUUAAAAAGACAAAUAAAGAUCCUUUUUCAUAGGAAUUCAUAUCAUUGUUAAAAAAAUAUAUUGAAUGCAUAAAUACUAAAAUGCAGCAAAAUUUAAUAUAUCCCUGACAAUAUAUUUAAAUAUAUACCUAAUAUUGAGCUAUUCUGGAUUAGACAGGAGAGUCCAUAAAGUUAACAGCAUUGGUGUCAAGAAAGAAAAUAUGCUAAUACAAUUCAUAACAAUUACAUUUUCAGAGUGAUUCAAAUUAGAUUCAGGAAUGAUGAAAAUGGCUAUUAGAUUCAGGAGAAAAGCAAGGCUGCACACGGAAGGCCACAGUAGCCAGCUGACAGAAAUUACCUGUAUGCAUUCCAUCAUUUGGCACAAAAAAGUAGAUUCUUGGAAGAUACUGGAAGCAGUGAACGUCAAAACAGUAUUAAAAAAAAUCAAAUAAAUAAAAUUUCAUCUUAAAAUAAUUGAAGCAAUUGUUUACAAGCAUUUCUGGUUCAAAAGAUCAAAAUGUUGAAAAGGAAAGAUGGGAUAAAUCACAUUAUAUAGUGCUGUACUUCCAACACUUUACCUAUGUUUUCUGAAAACAACCAACCAACAACAACACAACACCACCACGACCACACCCAAACCUAUACUUUUUCAUCCAUUAAAUUUCCUCGGAAGUACAUGCUUUAGAACUACAAGCAGAAAAGAUAACACAUUGCAGGCCAAAAAAAAGAAAAAACACUUAAACACUUUUGGAGCCACAAGUAGAUAUAUGUACAUAAUUAUGACGAUCAUUAUUAGAUGUUUGCACUGAGAGAAAUGUUAUGAAAGAGGUACUGAACCUUUGACUUAUUCCUUAUCUGCUGGUGUGGCAGUGACCUUUAGAGAAGUUUUAAAGUCUGUGUAUAUGUGAUCAGUAGUCUUUGAUAUUUUUACAGGAGAUUUUAAGGUGGUUCAAAGAGACAGAAGGCAGCAAUACAAAGUAACCAAGGCUACAGCUAUUCCUCAGGAAGUGAAGAAACAGUCAUCUCCUGGACAAUUUUUGGCAAUCAGUCUAUUGAGAGUGCGGAUCACUCUCAGUACAGCUGUUUGGAUGAAACCACAUUCUUACAGAGAUAAGAGAGCUUUGUAUUAUGGUUGUAGUUCUUCCUUGCCAGCUGGGCUCUUUGUGAAGAGAUAACCCCAAACAUAUUUAAGGCAAUGCAAAAAGAAGAAGAAAGAAAGAAGGAAAAAAAAAAGAAAAAAGAAAAAAGAAAAUAGUGGGGAAAAAAUGGAAUGAAAAAGAGAAAAAAAAGACAUAUUCAUGCUGGCAUAAGUUCACCAUCAUCUGUGGAGAAUUAUGUUUGUGUUUUUAUGGGAUUAUUUUUUUAAAAGGAACAGUAGAGUGUGGUGCAGCAGACUGUGGGUUAUCUGAAUGGUAGCC